rnacentral:rRNA from 1 species
AAAUUGAAGAGUUUGAUCAUGGCUCAGAUUGAACGCUGGCGGCAGGCCUAACACAUGCAAGUCGAGCGGUAGCACAGAGAGCUUGCUCUCGGGUGACGAGCGGCGGACGGGUGAGUAAUGUCUGGGAAACUGCCUGAUGGAGGGGGAUAACUACUGGAAACGGUAGCUAAUACCGCAUAACGUCGCAAGACCAAAGUGGGGGACCUUCGGGCCUCAUGCCAUCAGAUGUGCCCAGAUGGGAUUAGCUAGUAGGUGGGGUAACGGCUCACCUAGGCGACGAUCCCUAGCUGGUCUGAGAGGAUGACCAGCCACACUGGAACUGAGACACGGUCCAGACUCCUACGGGAGGCAGCAGUGGGGAAUAUUGCACAAUGGGCGCAAGCCUGAUGCAGCCAUGCCGCGUGUGUGAAGAAGGCCUUCGGGUUGUAAAGCACUUUCAGCGGGGAGGAAGGCGGUGAGGUUAAUAACCUCACCGAUUGACGUUACCCGCAGAAGAAGCACCGGCUAACUCCGUGCCAGCAGCCGCGGUAAUACGGAGGGUGCAAGCGUUAAUCGGAAUUACUGGGCGUAAAGCGCACGCAGGCGGUCUGUCAAGUCGGAUGUGAAAUCCCCGGGCUCAACCUGGGAACUGCAUUCGAAACUGGCAGGCUAGAGUCUUGUAGAGGGGGGUAGAAUUCCAGGUGUAGCGGUGAAAUGCGUAGAGAUCUGGAGGAAUACCGGUGGCGAAGGCGGCCCCCUGGACAAAGACUGACGCUCAGGUGCGAAAGCGUGGGGAGCAAACAGGAUUAGAUACCCUGGUAGUCCACGCCGUAAACGAUGUCGAUUUGGAGGUUGUGCCCUUGAGGCGUGGCUUCCGGAGCUAACGCGUUAAAUCGACCGCCUGGGGAGUACGGCCGCAAGGUUAAAACUCAAAUGAAUUGACGGGGGCCCGCACAAGCGGUGGAGCAUGUGGUUUAAUUCGAUGCAACGCGAAGAACCUUACCUGGUCUUGACAUCCACAGAACUUAGCAGAGAUGCUUUGGUGCCUUCGGGAACUGUGAGACAGGUGCUGCAUGGCUGUCGUCAGCUCGUGUUGUGAAAUGUUGGGUUA